GCUUUCGUUGUACGUAGAAUAAAUAGUUUUGGUAACAACAACACUCGACAGAGAAAAAAAAAAUCGGCGAAGAACUUUUGAGCGGUUAUUGAAGAAAAGGAAACAAAUCACAAAGAAAUUAAUCUCGCAAGCUUUUUCAUUUUACGAUUCUUAGCUUAACAUAAAGAACAGACGACUUUCUACCGGAUACAGUACGGUUUCUUGAUCAAGUCAUACAUAAUUUUGACACUGACUGGUUGACUGACACUGACAGUCAUAAUUUGUAUAUCAGGUUUGUC
rnacentral:lncRNA from 1 species